AGCGGACACUGGACAGAGUGUGCAUCAAGGCAGGAGCAUGCGAAAGGAGAAAAAGUAGCCUGAAGGUCUUUGCUAUUAUCAGAAAUAUUCAGACGUUACAUUUAACCGAUUUGUUUUUUCCAGGUCAAGUUCCUAAAUGAUCUGCAUUAAAAACAAUAUGCAAAAUACACAUAAGCAAAUAAAUGAGAAAAACUCAAGUUAUAUGAACGCUAAAAUAGAACAGCUGCGACUGACAGUUUUUGAAACCUUGUGUGAUGAAAAUCUAUGUAUCUCGUAUAUUUUGUCUUAAGCUUUCUUCAUAGAAAAACAACCUGAAAAAGUUUUCAUUUUAAUAAACAAUCUUCUAAGUGCAGAGAAACUGUUCCAGAAGUCAAAGUGAGGCAUGGAGUAUUUAUGUCAAGAAGCCCCCAGACAUCAGGAUCCAACUGAAUGAGUCCAGAUCACCACUUGUUUUCCCCACGGUCUUCUUCAUCAUCCACCACAUUCAUCCCCCCAUCCCUCCAUUCUCCAGGUCUACCUCUCUGAUCAUAGCUGAUGGUAGGCUUGGUGGAAUCCUGAAUGGAACACUAGGCAGUGGGGCUGGAUUCACUUCAUUUUGCCUUUUUGCAGCUGCCUAUUGUUUUGGUGGAAGCUGUGAAUGUGUGUGUGCAUGUACCAUGUAUUUCAUGCCUCGUGGGAACACGUUUCCUGACACAUAUUACGAUGUUGGGACUGAAGCCUGGUCCCCACAAGGGGAAAUGCUGUUAGGUUUAGGUUUAGGACUAAGAUGCGAAUUGAAUUUUGGUUAGGAUUAGGUAUAUAAUUGUAAGGGUUAAGAUGUCGAAAUGAAUGGAAGUCAAUGGAAAGUCCCCACAUAUAUAGUGUGAUAAGCAUGUGUGUAUGUGUGUGUGCGUGUCAUCCCCCUAGCAAUGGGAGAGGAGGAGACAACUGUAAGCUUGAGCCCAUCUUUUCUCGCCCCCUCCCUCCUUCCUUCUCGUCCUCAUGCUCCUUUCCAUUCCUCUCCACAGCCAUCAGGACCGUCCUCCUUCUCUUCCCGCCUCUCUGCUUGGUUAUCCAAUGCACCGUCGUCCCCGGUGCCUAACUGCUGGAGACCUAGAGGAAGGCUGCAGUCUCUGGUGAUUCUUUCCUGCACAUCUACUGAGACAAGAGACUCAGGCUGCGCUCGCUUCUCUGCAGACGGCUGGAUCUUGGAUUUUCCGCUCUCCUCUGGAAUAUUCCUCAGCAGACUCAAUCCGUGAACCUGCCUGUCCUCCCCUGUGCUGGCUGCCAGCGACACGCCACCAGCUCACCCGACAGACAUGAUGCAAAGCUCUGGCACGGGGGCUUCACAUUCCAAUGACACCCCCAGAAAUGAAGGCAGCCGCAGCAUCAAGCUGAGUAUGUGCAGGUUUAUGGAGACCCUGUGGAAGAAGGCAGCAGGUUUCUGUAGCAGAGUUUAGGCAGAGCGAGGUAGCCGAACUCAGAAGACUGAGCAGACAAAGAAAGAUGAGCAGAGUGUGUGAGGGGCUGAGAUGGAGUAGGUGAGACCCCUGCUGCCAGAGUCUCUGGAACUCCACAAAGACUAGUGAGGGUGAAGGAGCAGAGAGGAAGGUGGGGGGUGAAGGGGUUUUGCAGCUGGUGCUGAGGAACAUGGGAAUUUGUCGUGGAUCUCUUUCUGCCUCCUCUCCCCCGUCACGGAGGCGGUGACAACACACACCCAGUCUCUCCACAUUUACCCCUCUGUCGCUGCCUGGAGCAGCUUCACACUCUCAUUUCUUCUCUGAGGUCCCAAACAGCAUGCCGGAUGAUGCUUUGUACAUGAAACGCCUUAAGGUCAGGUGAGCUACAGGACCAUGGGCACCACCGUCAUCACGCUGGAUGAUGUGCAGGCGCUGGAGGCCAAGGAGGAGCAGGAGGAGUCCAUCUUGGCCAUGCUGGGCAUCGUUGGCACUUUCCUCAACCUCUUUGUAAUAGUUUUUGUUUACAUUUAUACCACGGUGUGAGGAGGGAAUCCCUGACUGGAUAACAGUGAUCAAUGGUAAGACCUUAGGAAAAACUGCGGCCUGACAUGAACACCUAUCCGAGAUCAAGAUGGAGGAAACGACAGGAAGUGGCUGAAGAUUACAAAGGGGAAGCCAUAUUGCCACACCACAGGUUUAAUCUGGAGAGAUAACGAAGGGCUUGAAGCGAAUGCGAGACGAGUCACGUGAAGAAAGGGAGUCCCCCAAAACAAAUGCCUUCUGGCUCCCGGCAUCUGGGACUGUUGGACCAAUGAGGAUGACUCUGGUGCCAUUAUUCCACUGAACUCAGUUUAAUUAUACAGUCGUCCUCCUCUACAUCGCAGAGUGAAACCUGGAGGAGUGAUUGGUCAGGCCCACUCUACCAGCACCGCUCCUCACUUCCUGAACCCCCUGCACGCACACACACACACGAACCCCCCCACACAUACACAACACAUAUGGCGUUCAAGAAAAGUCCUGCUACAGCUCUACAUCCUGAAGAUGAAUUUCUACAAUAUAAUAAAAUAACCUACUGUUCUUGGGUUAAAAAAACAUUUCCAAGAUUUAAAAGUUCACAUAUUGCGCUAUUUUUGUAAAAGGACAUCUUUACAGAGGGUAAGAAUUUAGGAGAAAGACAAGAUUGUGAUAAAAAAAAAAGUAACUUAUGUAUUAAAAUACAAGCAAAAGCAAACUUAUGCUGUAUUUUUGUUCAUAUUCAGAAAAGAUUAAGGAUGUGUCCAGAAACUCUUACAGAAACGAGGGUUUUUUCUUCCUUCUACUUUUUAAGAGUCAGUUUCUGUAACUUUUUCUCCAUUUUACCAAUGCUGUUUUUAUGGCUACCUGAAUAAAGUCUACAUGUACAGAUCAA